rnacentral:rRNA from 1 species
GACGAAGGGGGGCUAGCGUUGUUCGGAAUUACUGGGCGUAAAGCGCGCGCAGGCGGUUUUUCAAGUCAGUGGUGAAAGCCCGGAGCUCAACUCCGGAACUGCCAUUGAAACUGUGAAACUUGAGGAUGAGAGAGGUGAGUGGAAUUCCCCAGUGUAGAGGUGAAAUUCGUAGAUAUUGGGGAAAAACACCGGUGGCGAAGGCGGCUCACUGGCUCAUUUCUGACGCUCAGGCGCGACAGCGUGGGGGAUCAA